rnacentral:rRNA from 1 species
CACGCCCUAAACGAUGAGAACUGGACGUUGGGAGGAAUUUGCCUCUUAGUGUCGAAGCUAACGCGUGAAGUUCUCCGCCUGGGGAGUACGCUCGCAAGAGUGAAACUCAAAGGAAUUGAC